AGUUUGACUGGGGCGGUCUCCUCCCAAAGAGUAACGGAGGAGCACGAAGGUGGGCUAAUCACGGUUGGACAUCGUGAGGUUAGUGCAAUGGCAUAAGCCCGCUUAACUGCGAGAAUGACGGUUCGAGCAGGUGCGAAAGCAGGUCAUAGUGAUCCGGUGGUUCUGUAUGGAAGGGCCAUCGCUCAACGGAUAAAAGGUACUCCGGGGAUAACAGGCUGAUACCGCCCAAGAGUUCAUAUCGACGGCGGUGUUUGGCACCUCGAUGUCGGCUCAUCACAUCCUGGGGCUGAAGUCGGUCCCAAGGGUAUGGCUGUUCGCCAUUUAAAGUGGUACGCGAGCUGGGUUUAGAACGUCGUGAGACAGUUCGGUCCCUAUCUGCCGUGGGCGUUGGAAGAUUGAAGGGGGCUGCUCCUAGUACGAGAGGACCGGAGUGGACGAACCUCUGGUGUUCGGGUUGUGUCGCCAGACGCAUUGCCCGGUAGCUAAGUUCGGAAUUGAUAAGCGCUGAAAGCAUCUAAGCGCGAAGCGAGCC
rnacentral:rRNA from 1 species